rnacentral:rRNA from 1 species
CAGCAGCCGCGGGAAUACGGAGGGUGCAAGCGUUAAUCGGAAUUACUGGGCGUAAAGCGCACGCAGGCGGUCUGACAAGUCAGAUGUGAAAUCCCCGGGCUUAACCUGGGAACUGCAUUUGAAACUGUCAGGCUGGAGUCUUGUAGAGGGGGGUAGAAUUCCAGGUGUAGCGGUGAAAUGCGUAGAGAUCUGGAGGAAUACCGGUGGCGAAGGCGGCCCCCUGGACAAAGACUGACGCUCAGGUGCGAAAGCGUGGGGAGCAAACAGGAUUAGAUACCCGAGUAGUCCCUGUCUCUUAUAU